UUGCCAAGGAAAAUUUAUAUGUAGUUUAUUUUUAUAUAGAUUCAUGUAGUUGGACAGUUCAUUAUAAAUAGUAGAAUGAAUCCACAUCUUUCUUUCAUAUCGAAGCUACAUGCACAAACUUGAGGAAUGUGCGAGAAUGUGAAAGAGGUUAGAACAUACAUGUACAUACUUCAUAUUCCACACUUCCGACAACCAUUUAUUUUUGUUUCUUUUUUUUUAUUCAUGAUGUCUUUCUUGUCCACGUAAUAAUUCACUUCGUUUUUGUUCCUAGUCUGAGCACACGAGGAACCAUAAUUACAGUCACUUUGCAUCCGGAUUAACCGUUUAAAUAUACUUGGUGAAAUAAUUUGUCCUAUUUGCAUCGUGACCUUUCGAACUAAACGGCCGAUUUAACAACUAGUUUCAGAUUAAAAUUCAACUUCUGCGCUUUCUCCACGCUAGUUUUAUUUCCGCAAAAUGCUAGAGUUAAUCAAACCCGACGGUUGUUACUGGGCAUCGAGCACGCGAUUCUUACGUCAUUUUUCUUCAAGAAGUUAGCAGGAACUUGAUUCCCGACGAGAAGAGUGCUAAUAAACGCGCACCAUUGGUUUCAAAAUCGUUUUCUGAAGGAACAGAUGUUGAUGAGGGAUCAAGAGCUGUAAUUAAGAUUGACGUCAAACACGCGGAAAUCUUGAAAACUUGAGAACUGAAUAUUCGACUUAAUCACGAUAAUAAAAGCAAUGGUUAUCAAAGCACGAGGAUCUUUAAUAUCAUCGUAGUUGUACGAAAAUUUUGAACGUUUCUCGUCACCAUUAAAGGAAAACUUCAACCUUGAAGAGUUUAUCCAUGUAGAUAUGUAUAAUAAAACAUUCAUUUCAAAACAUCGAACCUAUUUAAUUUAGACAAACUUCUUGAAUAGACAUACUGGGUACGAACAUUUAUGAGACUGACUAUAUCUCUUCGUAACACCUUAUCUUGUGUACUUACCGGAGCAAAUGAAGGCACAUGCUUUCGAAUGGAGAUUAUAACACACUCCAAAACGGCAGCCUAACUCUUGGAGCCCUAGUAACCAAGCUUCAUCGAUCACUUGUCAUUUUAUUCGAAGGAACAAACCGAAAAUUAGCCAGUAUAGGUCGCAAAAAAAUUCUGAGAAACAUCGCAGCAGUCCCACGUCAAAGUGUCCUCAUCUUUCACCCAACAAUCCGUCGAAGAAGCUAUUAAUCAGCUAUAAUUAAGGCUCGGCUGAUCCUUCAGGGAUCGAGACGUCGAGUCGUUUGCUCAAGACCUCGCAGAACUAGGCUUUGGUUGCGCGUCGCUCGACGCCGUGGUUAAUCAAUCCUGAAGCUCGUUACAGACGAGCUCUCCGAUGGCUGAAGCGUCGUCUACGCAUACUACGUGGAACCAGAAUGUCAAGAAUUGUUAAUCUACCACGGCUCGUACGCUUAACGUCAGAUGAUAGCGACGCGUCGCUGUAAACUACGGUUACGAAAGAACCCUCGACUUUUGACGCCUUCAACAUUCUGUCCUUCGCGGCACUCUGGUCCCCAAAGACAGCGUUUCUCAAACUUUUAGAGUCACGAUGCAUUUUACGAUCUAUUUUUCGGAACAUUUCCAUGCAGUUGUGACUGCUUGGAUUUUAAGUGAAAAAUUUAUUUAUUUAACCCUGAGCAGUAUGGGGCUAGAGAAUUAUUUUUUUCGUGUGAGGGAGGAAUGAGUCAUUUGAAGAACAUUUAGUAAUUUUUCUGAAAAUUAAGAGAGAGCUCUGUAUUUUACAAAUAUAGAUAAAUACAUAUAUUCAAAUCGUCCUUUAAAUCAUGUUAACACAAUAAAUGCAUACAUUAAAAAUUGUAUAAUUGAUGCUGCUAUAAGAACAAAGUAUAAUGAUACUGUCUAUUUAAUAUAAUCAACGUAGGUACUCUGCAAGUAUGUAAAAUUAUUUAAUGUUUGUUUUCUUUUUUAAAUCAUCUUGAACACUUUAGGACACAGUUUCGGAAACGCUGCUCUAAGAACCAUCGGGAGACAUUCGCUGCCGAGCAGGCACCAGACCGCACCGUUAUUACUAGCGAUAAAUCGCCACCUUUAAUAAGAGCUCGCAUGACGUUCCAGACGGAAGCCAGAGACGCCGGGCGUCGCAGCCAGCGUCAACGACGUCGACGAAAGAAUCGUAAUAUCGAGCGCCGAGGCGAAUACGACGAAUCGAAGGCAGUUUGUUUCAGAAUGUAUUUCGAGUUCAUGCUUAAUAUUAAUGAUGCUGAAUAUCCUUAUGGAUACAGAAUUUUUCGAGGCGAAAGAUUUCUUCUGUUCCGAAAAUAAAUCUUUGACGUCGUUUAACGAGCAGAAUGAAAUUUGCUACGUCAGAAUCGUUCACAGUGAAAGACGCUAUCAAGUCAUUAGACAGAUUUAAUAGCACAGAAAGGGGUUAUCGAUUUGCGUGCUCGUGCAAAGACAAAUCGAGGUCAGCGCUAUCAAAGGGUGAAUUGGAUGUGUAGGAUAACUGGAAAUGCAACUGCUAACAGUCCGACUAACGCCAACCUUAAAGCUUUUAUGCCGCAAAUCCCUUUUAGCCGUUAGACUGCGCUAUUAAGGUCUCGACAUGCCACGUGUCUGCACUUGAACGUACGUCCCGUGCACGUGUACCCGUUCAAUUACAGAAUGGCUUGUAUUCAGGUGUAAAUACAUUCACGGUCUGUAUUCGCUACGCCCAUUCAACGUGUCACGGAUGGGAACAGUCGAGUCGCAAAUUAUUAGCCCACCCACACGUUUUAUUAAAUGCUUUCAACUUGUAACUUGAGUUCGGAAUUGAAUACCCGAUCGGAUUCAAUUUUACCACAGGAAACUCUAGGAUCCUGUUUCAUAAUAAAAUAAAUACACCUAUCAGUAAAAUCGUUGUUGGAGGUUAAAUUGUGAUCAUGUGUACCUUCGGUUAAAAUUAAAAAAUUCUAAAAGAUUCUAAAUUCCCUUCGUUACCAGUCGAUUAAAAUCGUGUCAAUAAAUCCUAUCAAUAAAACUGUGAUUUUACAUUCAAUUGUAAUCAUUAUACCUUCAUCUAAAAUUAAAAAAACAAAAAAAAUUCUAUAUAACAGAAAAAUAACAGAAAAAUUUUAACAAAUCCUAAAUCUCUUGUAUUGCCAGUCGAUUAAAAUUUCUCUUCCACCGAACAUCCAACGGUUAAACAAUGAAUGUUUCGAUAAAGUUGCAAUCUACCAGAAUUAGAGCAUCGUUAACGUCCCGUUGCGUGAACUAUGUCGUCCAGAGAAGUCCCCGAGAAUUGUCAAAGUAUUUCCUCGCGAUUCUAAGAGUGGAAAUGGAGGAGGGAGAACGGAGAACGAGAAAAGGCGUGCAGAAGGUCGUCUCGGUUCUCGGCAUUCCACCGAGUCCGCCGAAGAAUUUGAUAUGCCAGGGUUGAUGACGCGAUCCUGGCAGAAGCGGAACCAGGAAUCUAGAAACUCGGUCACCUCAUUUCCAAUUGACCGACUCGGUCCUCCGCAGCCCCUUGACAGACCAGCACGCGAUCUUCCAAUGGAUUAAUUGUCCCUAAGUUUAAUAUUUUAACCGAUAAUGUCGCGCACCUGACCAUUAUGGGAUCUAGCUACGUCCUAUGCGUUCAGUUAAGCUUGGAACGAACUAUCGACUUUGGAUUGCAGGAUGGAUUGAUGUAAGUUGUAAAGAGCACGGGCCUGGAUCAGCUUAUAUGGACAGGUGAUAGUCGGAAGACUGGUUGGAGAACUGUAGGUUUAUUCCUGGCUGAGGUACUGUCAUCUACUGUCAUUUGCUGGGAAUAUUAGAAAAAGGUACACCAUGGGAAAAAGAUGACCUGUAAUAGAAUGAACGACACAUUCUAUGACUUACACUGAGUCUAACAGGUUGUUGGGUGUUGUUUUCGUUUGGAGUGACAGUCGGAGGCAAUGGUAAUGGAGAAAACUAAUACUAGACAAGGGUAGCCUCUGGUUUUGCUGAAACUUUAAUGAAAACUGCACUAUGCUUAAAGGCCUUUAAUCAACAAUUUAUACGUGAAAAGAUUCCUACAGCUUGAGAAUCCACUAAGAAAAAUAUUGUUCCGACCCAGACAGCCCCCUAACCAGUCCUUUGUGCAGCGCGUUACACCAUUGGGAACGUGUUGUCAGCCGAAAACAGUCUGCACGCCUUCGAACACUGUUCGGGGUCCCAGCCUUACCGUAAAAGCAUUCACCCCUGUCGGUGAUUUCGCAUACGCGACGAGGGUUCCACCGGAGGGCUCGUUUAAUCGGCGGUCGUUGUUGCUGCAUCGGAUUUUGAUUAGCGCGGCCACGCCACGUUCGUUCGUUCGUUUGUUGACGGAUGAAAAAAUGCGUGACACGCGUAGCUGUGUGCGUGCGUAAUCUUACUGGACGUACGUCAAACGUAAAAUAUGCGUGCGCGGCGCGUUUGGUAUAUAGGGGAGAGGUUUUUGCUAUGUUUUACGCAUACGCAGUAUAUGUCCACGACGAUUGGACCGAGUCGAUUUUUGGCGCUGAAUUUUAGGCCAGUAUUAUUUUGAUGAUUUAUUUCACAUCCUUAUUGCAUACAGUUUAUGGUAUUAAAGAACGUUAGCCUUAUCAUCUGGCGCUGGAAAUUAUUUUAUAUAGUUUUGCAUGUAUUAAUUAUACGUUUUAUUUUUUAUCAUAUGUAACAUGGUGUACGAGGUUCUGAAAUUUAAAAAAGAAAAUGGACGAAGUUCCUGUAAAUAGCAAACGAAACUCGAAAUGUCAUUCUUCAUGCAUCGUGUAACCUAUCGUAAAAUUGUUUAUGUCUCAGGUUCGCCGUUGAAAAGAUCGAUCACAGACGUAAACGUAAUCGCAAGUAACGCGCGAAGUUAGGCCGUCCCCGCGUGUCGAAUGAAAAUAUGUCACUGGCAGUCGGUGGCAGCCGAAAUCCGGAUGCGGUAGCGUUCUCAUCAGCAUGCGAAAACUUUGUUAUUUGUUUGAACACGUUCAAUUAUGCAUGCGCAAUAUGCUGACAGUUUUCAAGGGUGCAGGGUAGGAGUGUUUGAAAGGGUGGUCAAGGGAGGGGUGCGCCGUAUUACGUCGGAGAAGAGGAAACGGCAAUCCCAUUGAAAGGGUGCGUUUUCGUUCGAAUGUAAUUGAAAUAAUAAUAAAGCGUGAACGUGCGGCAAUGAACGCGUCUGUGGACACUCGUGGCUUUUCACCUUCGAUAUUCUUCAAGGUGCGGACGAUGACAGAGGUAUAAUGAAAUUAUGAAAAGCUCUCGAAAUUGUAACAGUGGAAUAGUUUUUGAUUGCUCUGAAGUUGUCGAACGUUCAAUUUGUGUUAUUAGGAGAUCGUGACGAGCGUUCUAUGAAUGAUUAAUGAUUUUUAAAACGAAUUUUAAACAGUAAUAAACAUUUGUAAGGAAGAAUAGACUCAGGUGUGAACAUCCCAGCUCCCAAGUCGAGUGGUUCGAGUAAUAAUUCAUCCUGGCACUUGGCACGUGUAAACGGCGCGAUCGAUAAGUUAACGCAACGUUUCAAAGUGCAGUUACCUAGGAGGAAAUUACCCUUAACCUGUAAAGCACUCACCACCGCUCAAAAAGGAUUUAAAUUUCACGUCUGGUCUCAUCCUUCGAACGAUCCAAUCUGGCCGUGCCGAGCACGCGAGAAAAGCUGAAUUUUACGAAGCAUAAUUACAGGGACGCGAGUAUCCGGCUAUUUUUUCCGGCCAGCAGGAGUGAACUUCCGGUCGAGUGAUGCGAUAACCGUUUACAGGAGUUGCGUAAUCGCUGGUGAGUCCCUCUUGUUCUUUUUCCAGCCAUCAGACCGCGGCAAAAACUUAUGGGGUGUACGGGGAAAAUGAUCGACCAACCACGAACGCAUUCCGUUACAUAAUUGAACGAUCAAGGGUGAAAUUUAAUUAAUAACGUGAAAUACGUGGGAAAAUAUGCAAUUUGGUCGGUGGCGUUACUACCGCUGAAAGUUCA